rnacentral:rRNA from 1 species
UACAGAGGUCUCAAGCGUUGUUCGGAUUCAUUGGGCGUAAAGGGUGUGUAGGUGGCGCCGUAAGUCGGGGUGUGAAAUUUCGGAGCUUAACUCCGAAACUGCAUUCGAUACUGCGGUGCUUGAGGACUGGAGAGGAGACUGGAAUUCAUGGUGUAGCAGUGAAAUGCGUAGAGAUCAUGAGGAAGACCAGUGGCGAAGGCGGGUCUCUGGACAGUUCCUGACACUGAGGCACGAAGGCCAGGGGAGCAAACGGG